rnacentral:rRNA from 1 species
UACUGAGGUCUCAAGCGUUGUUCGGAAUCACUGGGCGUAAAGCGUGCGUAGGCUGUUUCGUAAGUCGUGUGUGAAAGGCGCGGGCUCAACCCGCGGACGGCACAUGAUACUGCGAGACUAGAGUAAUGGAGGGGGAACCGGAAUUCUCGGUGUAGCAGUGAAAUGCGUAGAUAUCGAGAGGAACACUCGUGGCGAAGGCGGGUUCCUGGACAUUAACUGACGCUGAGGCACGAAGGCCAGGGGAGCGAAAGGG